AGAGUUUGAUUCUGGCUCAGGAUGAACGCUAGCGAUAGGCCUAACACAUGCAAGUCGAGGGGCAGCACAUGAAGUAGCAAUACGGAUGGUAGCGACCGGCGCACGGGUGAGUAACGCGUAUGCAACCUGCCUACAACAGGGGAAUAACCCGUUGAAAGACGGACUAAUACCCCAUAACACAGGGAUCCCGCAUGGGAAUAUUUGUUAAAGAUUUAUCGGUUAUAGAUGGGCAUGCGUUCCAUUAGCUGGUUGGUGAGGUAACGGCUCACCAAGGCAACGAUGGAUAGGGGAACUGAGAGGUUUAUCCCCCACACUGGUACUGAGACACGGACCAGACUCCUACGGGAGGCAGCAGUGAGGAAUAUUGGUCAAUGGACGCAAGUCUGAACCAGCCACGUCGCGUGAAGGAAGACGGCCCUACGGGUUGUAAACUUCUUUUGUAAGGGAAUAAAGUGUAGUACGUGUACUAUUUUGCAUGUACCUUACGAAUAAGGAUCGGCUAACUCCGUGCCAGCAGCCGCGGUAAUACGGAGGAUCCGAGCGUUAUCCGGAUUUAUUGGGUUUAAAGGGUGCGCAGGCGGGAGAUUAAGUCGGCGGUGAAAUUUUGCAGCUCAACUGUAAAAGUGCCUUCGAAACUGGUUUCCUUGAGUGUGGAUGAAGUAGGCGGAAUUUGUGGUGUAGCGGUGAAAUGCAUAGAUAUCACGAGGAACUCCGAUUGCGCAGGCAGCUUACUAAACCAUAACUGACGCUCAGGCACGAAGGCGUGGGGAUCAAACAGGAUUAGAUACCCUGGUAGUC
rnacentral:rRNA from 1 species